UGGUUAUUGGGGCCUAGUCUGUAGAUGUC
rnacentral:piRNA from 1 species